rnacentral:misc_RNA from 1 species
UUUUUACUAGGGGAGGAGUAGAGGGGAGGGGCGAGUGCAGUGGUGGUGUUGGUAAGGAUUACGCAACUCAAUAACUUUCCGAUAAUGUUGGAUCAUGUGAGUUCCAUAUACUAGUAUAUUGGCUAGGAACAACACUGGAAUGUGUUGAGUUACAAGCAAGGUUUCAAUGUUGUUAGCUAAAAACCAAAUUUGUUGGUUCAUUUCUCAUAUUUUAGCAUCGAAACUUGUAAAAGAUGUGAAUGCUAGAACAGUCUGUGCUCAGUUUUGACAUGAGAUUUUGUUCCAGGUAAAGAGUCGUUACACCACUG